rnacentral:tmRNA from 1 species
AAUCUUUAAAAUGCCAAAAAUAAGUUUUAUAUUAUAUCUGUUGGAUUUCCAACUAUGACGAUAAACGAAACUCGUAAUAAACAUUUCGGACCAGGGGGCGGUACCCUGCACCUCCACCAAAUGCAACUCACGGGGGUGAACUAGGCUCGACGGAUGUCUAAAAGUUUUUCUUUCGUUCGGUAAAGUCCCGCCGCAAUGGACAACUUAUAAAUGCAAAUGAUAAAUUUGCUCUUGCUGCUUAAUUAACUUAGGUUAAUUUUGCAAACGGGGUCCGGGGCACCUGGCAACAGAACGCCCCUUU